CAGUGGUAGAGUGUUUGACUGAAGAUCAAGGGGUCCUUGCUUCAAAUCCAAGUGCCCUCUAAUAAGCCUCUUAUUUUCUUAUUUUUAUUUUUGAAAAAAGGGAAAACAUUUUCAUUUCCAUUCUCCAUUAUGUUCAGGAGCUCCACUAUACGGGGAUGCUUGAAAUGAAUGUAAACACUCAACAUUUCACUGUCCAAAUGCAUAAAAA